rnacentral:misc_RNA from 1 species
AAAAAAGCUUGGUGUGGUGAAUCACUACAGUGAAAAGUGACUAGAGAAAGUAAAUCGAUAAAUAUAAAAAAUAAAUAAAAUAUGUAAAAUUUUUAUAUUAAAAAAUAAUAAUGAAUAUAAAAAGUAAAUAAUAAAAAAUGUAAUAAAAAUAAAUGAAAUAUAUAGAAUUCAGCACCUCACUACGACACAAUUUAUAUUGUAGUGAAAAUUAUUAUACCUAGCUAAUAAAAUUCUCUCUCUUUAGGCGAUCCACAAAUUAAUAUUUUGAGUUAAUUAAUCACUUUCUGUAAUCAUUAAUUAAAUUUUAUUUAUAAAAAAUUACUUUAUUUGGAUUUUAUUUCAAU